GGGCCUAUAGCUCAGUUGGUUAGAGCAGAGAACUCAUAAUUCUUUGGUCGCUGGUUCGAGUCCAGCUGGGCCCACCA
rnacentral:tRNA from 2 species